rnacentral:rRNA from 1 species
UACGGAGGGAGCUAGCGUUGUUCGGAAUUACUGGGCGUAAAGCGCGCGUAGGCGGCUUUGUAAGUUAGAGGUGAAAGCCCGGGGCUCAACCCCGGAACUGCCUUUAAGACUGCAUCGCUUGAAUCCGGGAGAGGUGAGUGGAAUUCCGAGUGUAGAGGUGAAAUUCGUAGAUAUUCGCAAGAACACCAGUGGCGAAGGCGGCUCACUGGCCCGAUACUGACGCUGAGGCACGAAAGCGUGGGGAGCAAACAGG